UACGUAGGGGGCAAGCGUUGUCCGGAAUCACUGGGCGUAAAGCGCGCGCAGGCGGCUAUCUACGUCCGGGGUGAAAGCCCAGAGCUCAACUCUGGGACUGCCUUGGAUACGGGAUAGCUUGAGGAUCGGAGAGGCAAGGGGAAUUCCACGUGUAGCGGUGAAAUGCGUAGAGAUGUGGAGGAACACCUGUGGCGAAGGCGAUCAUCUGGGGUUGUUCUGACACUGAGGAGCGAAAGCUAGGGGAGCAAACGGG
rnacentral:rRNA from 1 species